GACAGAGGUCAAAGAAUCUGAGGUGAGGAGGGGGAGGGACCAAGGUAUGUGGGUAAGAAUGAUGAGGGGCGAGGGACAGUAUUGGAUACGGAGGUGGUUCAGGAUGUUGAGGGGCGAGGGACAGUAUUGGAUACGGAGGUGGAGAGAUGGUUCAGGAUGUUGAGGGGGGGGUGAGGGACAGUAUUGGAUACGGAGGUGGUUCAGGAUGUUGAGGGGGGUGAGGGACAGUAUUGGAUACGGAGGUGGUUCAGGAUGUUGAGGAGGGGUGAGGGACAGUAUUGGAUACAGAGGUGGUUCAGGAUGUUGAGGAGGGGUGAGGGACAGUAUUGGAUACAGAGGUGGUUCAGGAUGUUGAGGAGGGGUGAGGGACAGUAUUGGAUACGGAGGUGGUUCAGGAUGUUGAGGGGGGGUGAGGGACAGUAUUGGAUACAGAGGUGCUUCAGGAUGUUGAGGGGGGGUGAGGGACAGUAUUGGAUACAGAGGUGGUUCAGGAUGUUGAGGAGGGGUGAGGGACAGUAUUGGAUACGGAGGUGGUUCAGGAUGUUGAGGGGUGAGGGACAGUAUUGGUUACAGAGGUGGUUCAGGAUGUUGAGGGGGGGUGAGGGACAGUAUUGGAUACAGAGAUGGUUCAGGAUGUUGAGGGGGGGUGAGGGACAGUAUUGGAUACGGAGGUGGUUCAGGAUGUUGAGGGGGGGUGAGGGACAGUAUUGGAUACAGAGAUGGUUCAGGAUGUUGAGGGGGGGUGAGGGAAAGUAUUGGAUACAGAGGUGGUUCAGGAUGUUGAGGGGGGGUGAGGGACAGUAUUGGAUACAGAGGUGGUUCAGGAUGUUGAGGGGGGGUGAGGGACAGUAUUGGAUACAGAGGUGGUUCAGGAUGUUGAGGGGGGUGAGGGACAGUAUUGGAUACGGAGGUGGUUCAGGAUGUUGAGGGGGGGGUGAGGGACAGUAUUGGAUACAGAGGUGGUUCAGGAUGUUGAGGGGGGUGAGGGACAGUAUUGGAUACAGAGGUGGUUCAGGAUGUUGAGGAGGGGUGAGGGACAGUAUUGGAUACAGAGGUGGUUCAGGAUGUUGAGGAGGGGUGAGGGACAGUAUUGGAUACGGAGGUGCUUCAGGAUGUUGAGGGGGGGUGAGGGACAGUAUUGGAUACAGAGGUGGUGAGGUGCUUCAGGAUGUUGAGGGGGUGAGGGACAGUAUUGGAUACAGAGGUGGUUCAGGAUGUUGAGGGGGGGUGAGGGACAGUAUUGGAUACGGAGGGGGGGUGAGGGACAGUAUUGAUACGGAGGUGCUUCAGGAUGUUGAGGGGGGGUGAGGGACAGUAUUGGAUACGGAGGUGGUGAGGUGCUUCAGGAUGUUGAGGGGGGGUGAGGGACAGUAUUGGAUACGGAGGGGGGGUGAGGGUGAUGAGACCAAACACAGCAGAAUAGAAUGUAGCUGAAAUGAAAAGACAAUAGGGACCAAACACCAAAACAUGAAGUAUGACACGAUGACGAUGACGAUGAUGAUUAUGUUGAUGAAGAUGAAACCACCGACACUGUGAGAGAAAGACAUCAUGACAGAAGCAGCAGCCAGACAGACGACAUAAAGACACGGCGGCCAUUUUGUCAAAUGUGGAGCCACAUUGAUGAUUCACAAAAUGGCUGCUUUUCCCCCUGUGUGGAGAGAGUGGAAUGGAGAG